UACGUAGGGUGCGAGCGUUGCCCGGAUUUAUUGGGCGUAAAGGGCGCGUAGGCGGUGAGAUGCGUCCGUUGUGAAAUCGCCCGGCUCAACUGGGCGGGGUCAGCGGAUACGGUCUCACUCGAGCAAGCUAGGGGGCAAUGGAAUUCCCGGUGUAGUGGUGGAAUGCGUAGAUAUCGGAAGGAACACCGGUGGCGAAAGCGGCGCGCUGGAUCUCUUCUGACGCUGAGGCGCGAAAGCCAGGGGAGCGAACGGG
rnacentral:rRNA from 1 species